rnacentral:tRNA from 1 species
AAAUAAGAAGCAAUAAUUGCACUCAGUUUCGACCUGAGCCUUUGAUGAAUACAUCCUUAUUUG